GGUUGGUCCACGGGUAGUGAGUUAUUUCAGUUGAUUUCAACUGAUUGUUCAGAAUCAGUUACAGAUCAAAUUCCUUGUUUUACUCUUUCCUUCUCACUACUACACUUGCCUAGCCUUUA
ensembl:misc_RNA Y_RNA Y RNA